rnacentral:lncRNA from 1 species
AUGACCAAGCUGGAGACUGAAGCAGGUCAGAGGGAUCUCGGGCUGCGCAGGGCGAGCGCACCCGCAUGCGUCCGGCUUAAGACAGGACUUCAGGCUGCCAAGUGCAGGCUCUGCCGACCACGUGCGUUGCCAGUGGGUGCUGUUUUGAGGGGCUCGGCCACCAGUGAAUCAAGCAAAAAGAACGUCAGUGAGCACCUGCCGUGCAGCACAAAUACGCGCCCCCUGCCCAGACCCGCGCCCAGAGCAGACCGGGACCCACACUCCUUGCUCAGCUGCCAUGGAACCCUCCACUGCUGCUUCCUCAUCUGUACCCUCCGAAUCGUAACGGGCAAAGUGUGACCACGAAACGAGCUUCUCGUAAGGCAGCUGCCUCUGUGCCUGCCCGGCCCCCAGAAGGUUCGGAUUUAGGUGGGUGCCGUACGUCCGAGCCCCCUUCUCUUGAACCUGGGCGGACGGAUCAAGUCCCAAGGGUUUUAGUAAUUUAGUAGUGUGUAAAUCCACGUAAACAGGACGGCCCCGUUGCGACGGUCCCCACGCUUGAGGUCCCAGGAGAGGCGGGGGAGCGCAGAGGCUGCAGUGUCUUCGGUGGAAGGCUUAUCUCACUUUGGAGAUUAGCAGGGCGGGGCGUUACUUGCAACCACGUUUUAAUGGACGUCAGGUAUUGCCUUUCAAACUGUGUCGGGUUUUGCUCUGUUUUGUUUCUGGCUGGAUUAAUUUGCAAGUGAAAAGUUCUGGGACGUCCUCGUGAGGUUGACUCCGACGAGCAAAGAAAGAGAAAGAAAUUAUUUUCACCCAAGUCUGUGCUGAACUGAUAGACGUCAAGUGUCCGAGGGGGCAGCCCUGAGGAGAUGGAGGAGCUGAGAAGCUGCGUGGGACUGUCCUGGGGGCUGCUGAGAGCCACUGGAAAUGCCACGUUCGACUCCCCAGAGAGUCCCGGGAAGCCUGGUCCUCGAGCUGCAGGCCGCGAAGCUCGGGGGCACAGGAGCACUGCCCUCCUGGCCUGCUUCGAGGGCCCAGCUGCUGUCCGCCCCCCGACAGGGAAGAAGCAGGCCACGAGUCCAGAGUGCUUCCAGUCGUAAAAGGCACCCCCGUUCUGGUCAGAAACGAUCCCCAAAGCUGUGUGUCCUUGAAGGACGUGCGCAGGGUCUCUGAGUGUGCUCGGCAUCAGAGAGCCAGCCUGGGAGGGACGGAGCCGCCCGACAGCUACUAACGUCUCCGCUCCUCCCCUGGGGGACGGACACGCCAGCUACAAGCUACCUCGGUCCCCCCACGCAGCCCCGUGUUGCCCCAUGCCGCCCUGAAGCCACCACACACCACCCCACAAUGAUCCCAAAGCUUCACAUAAGCCACUGCAGCCCUACAAAGACCCUAUGAGGCCCCCCAGCACCCCACACGACCCCCAGCGCCACUGCCGGCCUUUCCGCCCUUGAAAGCUCUCCCUUCUUCUCUGGCCUCCCGCGGUCCCGUUGAAGACCUCCGAAGUCCGAGGAGCCCCGCCGCCCGUGCAGGGGCGAGUGGAAGAGAGAGGGGGUCCCGAGGCGCAGGCGUAAGAAGGGCCGGGAUACGUGACCCGAGCAGGUUGGCACAGGAGCAGAAGUUCUAGAAGGGUGUUCCGGGAGUUGGUGGUAGGAAAGGAUGGAUCCGGGGACGGAGGGGGCUGUUCCGCAGAGGGACUCUGGGGUCUGGCCCCCUGGCAAAGCCCCGUAGCAAGCGGUCCUCACCUCCGCUCACAUCCCCGUUUCUUCCAGAGCAGAGGUCAGGCCCGGGCCCGCGACAGACGCAGCCCUGGCCUGUGGCCAGGCCCCUCCCCUGCCGCAGGCCGUGAGGGCGUUUCUGUCCGGCAACCCACACGUGGCGACUCCAAGCUGGGAUGUGCCGUGAGCGGGUUCGCACUCUGCUUUGCGAACACUCGAGACACACAAUGUGGAGCAGCUCAGCGAUGUCUGUAUUCGUAACAUGGGCCAAAGCAACGACACGUUUGACGCACUGGGUAGACUAAAAGGUAUCGCCAAAAUCCGUGUCACCUGUGUUCUGUCGCCGCAGAAGGGAGCCCGGGACAGUGGACGCUGAAGCUGCCGCCAGACCUCGCCGCUGUGUGGG